GGCUACACACGGCCGAGAUCAGAAUUACCCUUUGAACACGAACCUCCAUAUUUGUGGACUUGUAGACUUAGAAUUCAAAGGUCCCAACUUUCCUUGGUUUCGGAAUGACUAGCGCUUUGGAAUCUUACAGUAACGCCUUGAUCGUGGGGUAGCUAAUAUUAGUUGGCGACAUGCGUUUCCUGAGGCAUCGAUCCUUCAUCUACCAAGAACUCACUCAGAUCACUAUCCGUUAUUGUUGCACACUCAAUGGGUUGCGGGACUUCCUAGAAUUCGCCCAUUCAGACUUGAAGCCAUGUGGUCUGAGGAGGAGC
rnacentral:lncRNA from 1 species